UUCAAAUAUAUUUAUGCGGAAAUUGACCAUUUUGGUGUUCGAAACGUAAAGAGUUGACGUUUCGAUUCGUCGUGACACGUCUGCGUCUCUUCGGGCGCCAAACUCUUUUGGGACCUCCCGGAAGGCCGCCCUUGA
ensembl:ncRNA C32C4.13 ncRNA